UUAGAGGAUUUUAUGUCUAAUUAUUAAAAAGUCUAAUUAUUCAAUAAAUUAGAUUGAUUGAUACGAGUGGAUUUCCUAUUACGAUGGAUGGAAGAAAGAAUGGAUAGUCCAAUAGCGGCUUCAGCAGCGGCAAGGGCUAUAACAAAAAUGGCGAAAAUAUCUCCUUUUAAUUGGCGACUAUCAAAUAGAUCAGAAAAUGUUACGAGAUUUAGAUUAAUUGAAUUCAGUAUAAGUUCAAGACAUAUUAGAGCUCUAACCAUGUUUCGGCUUGUGAUCAAUCCAUAGAUACCAAUCGAAAUAAUAGACACUCAAAAAAAGUACAUGCUCAAACAUCAUUAACUAACUCCUUAUCAAUCUCGAUUCAUUUCAUAUGAGGCAAGAAUUCGAACGAUUCAUUAAUUACAAUAGAANAAUUAACACAAACAAAAGAAGAAAAGGAAGGAGGUAUUUNUUGGGCAGUAGNUGGGUUUACAAAUACAAAUUGUGUAUUCUUUAGUUAUUUAUUUAGUAUUUGNNNNNNNNNNNNNNNNNNNNNNNNNNNNNNNNNNNNNNNNNNNNNNNNNNNNNNNNNNNNNNNNNNNNNNNNNNNNNNNNNNNNNNNNNNNNNNNNNNNNGCAUGCAAGCUUUAUGUUAGGCGCAGUACUCAUACAGGAACUUAUGAGCAAGAAUUGCUCUAUCAAUCACCAUCGACAUUAGAUAUAUCUUCUGAAACUUUUUUAAAAUCCAAAAGUCCAGUACCUUCCUACAAAUUAGUGAAUUAGGAGGGGGGGGCUCUUUUGUGUAGAAAAAGAAAAAGCAGAGCAAUCUUUCAAACUUGCAUCCGAAAUGGGAAAUAUUUAUACAAAGAGGGAGAGAUGAAGACAAUGCAGCAGGGUUGGUUAUCUAAUUGGCUAGUCAAACAUGAGGUGGUUCAUAGAUCUUUGGGCUUUGAUCACCGAGGAAUAGAGACUUUACAAAUAAAAGCAGGGGAUUGGGAUUCCAUUGCUGUCAUUUUAUAUGUAUAUGGUUAUAAUUAUUUACGCUCCCAAUGUGCUUAUGAUGUAGCACCCGGUGGAUCUUUAGCUAGCGUGUAUCAUCUUACAAGAAUACAAUACGGUAUAGAUAAUCCAGAAGAAGUCUGCAUAAAAGUCUUUGCCCAAAAGGAUAAUCCUAGAAUUCCGUCUGUCUUCUGGAUUUGGAGAAGUGCCGAUUUUCAAGAACGCGAAUCUUAUGAUAUGGUGGGAAUCUCUUAUGAUAAUCAUCCGCGCCUUAAACGUAUCCUAAUGCCUGAAAGUUGGAUAGGCUGGCCCUUACGUAAGGACUAUAUAACCCCCAAUUUUUAUGAAAUACAAGAUGCUCAUUGAAUGAUAAGAAAUUCGUGCUCACUUAUACAACACAACUCCAGAUUUUAUUCAAGUCAAGGAAUAUUUUUAGGUUCUUUUCCUAGAUGAAACGGAAUACCUAUUUAUAAUUAAUUCCUAUUAUACAAAAGCAUUCCAGAUAGACUGAGCCAAAAAAGGGUUUCAUUUGGAUUCCCCUAUUUUGAAAAUCACAUAUUAAUUUCCUUCAUAUGAACAGAAAAAUAGGAUGACUCAAAGAAGUUCUCUACCAGGAACUUUGUAUCGCGCACAUGACUUAGCACAACUAGGAAAAUAAGAUAAGAUAAAGAUAAGCAAGACUAAAAAAAUAUUCGUCGGAAUAGUGGAAUACAAAAUAAAGAAACGCAAAAAAAUAAAGGGGAACCUAAUCUCACCCCCUUCCUUAUCAUAAAGAAAGGGUAUAUUUUAAAACUUCUCUAAAAAGAAGUGCCUCUAUAUUUAUAUUAUAGAUUUAUCCACUUAGAUGAAUAAAUCAUACUCUAUCUAUAUUAUAUAUUAUUAAUAAAUAUGUAUCACAAUCCAUCUCGAGGUAUUUGGAUCAAUACCUAUUCGGUGGAUCUUUUUUUUUCUCUGCCAGGAACCAGAUUUGAACUGGUGACACGAGGAUUUUCAGUCCUCUGCUCUACCAACUGAGCUAUCCUGACCUUUUCUUGUGCAUCAUCCUAGUAGAGUAUUUGUAUCUAUGUCAAUUAAAAGGACUAAAAAAAUCAAUUAAAGUAUUUCAAAUUCAAAAUUUGAAAGGGGGGGGGUAGCCCUAUGCAUUGUGCAUGGUUUACUUAAAUAAUACUUAAAAAUAGAGUGAAUAACCAAGAUUUCUUGCCGAUACUCUAAUAAAAAAGAAAUCUAUUCAAUGAAUAGGAUAAGAUCCAUUGAGUUCUCUUCGCAUUCCUUUCCUUUGUGAAAGAGUAGAAUGAGAAAGCUAAUGAAUCUUAAACCCAUUGAUAAAAAGAAAAAAAAAGAGGAUUUGGGGAUAGAGGGACUUGAACCCUCACAACUUAAAAAGUCGACGGAUUUUCCUUUUACUAGAAAUUUCAUUGUUGUCAGUAUUGACAUGUAGAAUGGGACUCUCUCUUUGUCCUCGUCCGAUUAAUCCACUUUCUUUUUAAAAGUUCUCAAAACUUUGAAUUUGAAUUGAAGAAUUUGAUUAUUCAAUAUUCGAAUGGAGUGGAUUCACAAUAAUUCAAAAUAAAAUUAUGAUAUGAGUUUUUUAUUUCAUAAUCAUUUCGAAUUUUAUUUUGAAUUUUAAAAAAGAUAAAGAACCUAUAUUAUAAUAUGAGUUCUGUGAUUAAUCGUUUGCUAUGUCAGUAUCUAUACGUGUUUAUUAAAUGUAUAAAGUAUAAAACCCCCUCUUUCUACUAAUUUUAGAAUUUAGAACGGUAAUUCCAACUUAACAACACCAAACCGGUUAAUUUAAACCUCGUAAGUUUANNNNNNNNNNNNNNNNNNNNNNNNNNNNNNNNNNNNNNNNNNNNNNNNNNNNNNNNNNNNNNNNNNNNNNNNNNNNNNNNNNNNNNNNNNNNNNNNNNNNUUAAUUCCCCCCGUUACGGUGGUUCGGCCUUUAGGNGAGUUCUCAGUACCCYMAAAUACUUUAUUUAUUUGUUUGUUUGUUGCCCAGAAAAACCCUUUGGUUUUGGAUGCUCAUUACCACUGGAAAAUGAUCUUGAUUUUACUAAAGAAUAAGAUUGUACUAUGGAAAAAUAAGUCUUUUUCUUCCAAAUAUUUUUACGAAUACGCUUUUUUGACAUUGAAGUACGUUUUUUUUGGAACUGCCAUUCAAAAAGGAAAUUACUUUUUUUCUAGUUGUAUGUGAAAGACAUCUAUUGCUGCAAAUCAAUCCUUCUUUCUUGUUUUUAUUAGUAUUUAUACUUAGAUACUGAAAGAUACUGAAAUUGUGAAUUAUUUUUUACUUCAUUUUGUCUAAUGCGGAUAAGACAAGAAUUUUUAAACAUUUUUUCUGUAUAUAUUUUAUACUUUGUUUUAAUAAUAUAGAAUAUAUAGAAGGGUUUCCCAUUUAUAUCUAUUUAUAUAUCAAGUAUACUCCAUAUAUAGAUAUAUGGUAUGGAAGCCUAUCCCCCGGGGGGAUAAAAAGAAGGGAAAAUUCAAAUAGUUAAUUAAGCUCAGAAUGAUAUUGUAUUGUAUUCCAUAAAGGAAAGGAAUUCUAAUCAAAACAAAAAAUACUGAGUCUCUUAAACAAGACAUUCUAAAACUUAGGUAAUUUAUAGUCAUAAGGACUAUUCGAUAAUUUCUUAUAAACAUAGAUUUUCAUUGGAAUUCACUCAAUCAGUUAUGGAACAAGAGAGCUGUUUCAUCUUUGUUUUAAAGAAAUAUAAAAAUGAAUAGAAAGUAAAAAGUAAAACGAUUCCUUUUUUUUUUUUUGUAAAUAUCUUUAUUUAGAUAAUAACUAGGUAACGAAGUUAUUUGAUUAACUUUUUGAAUUUAACCAACUAAACCCAUUCUUCAUUUUUUAUUAUUUCAAUGAGAUAAAUUUUUUAAAAAAAUGAAGAAUUCCAGUUAUUUUUUCUUAUUCUUUUUAUUUAUUCUUUCAGAAAGAGAUAAGAGUUGGUUUGGUGAAUCGGAAACAAUUUUAUAGAAAAAUUGAAAGUAAAAAAUCGCAAUUUCUUUUCUUAUGGAACAUACAUAUCAAUAUGCAUGGGUAAUCCCUCUUCUCCCACUUCCAGUUAUUAUGUCAAUGGGAUUUGGCCUUAUUCUUAUUCCGACAGCAACAAAAAAUCUUCGUCGCAUAUGGGCUUUUCCUAGUGUUUUACUCUUAAGUAUAGCUAUGGUAUUCUCAGUUCAACUGUCUAUUCAACAAAUAAAUGGAAGUUCUAUCUAUCAAUAUCUAUGGUCUUGGACCGUCAAUAAUGAUUUUUCUUUAGAAUUUGGAUACUUGAUUGACCCACUUACUUCUAUUAUGUUAAUACUAAUUACUACUGUAGGAAUCCUGGUUCUUAUUUAUAGUGAUGGUUAUAUGUCUCACGAUGAAGGAUAUUUGAGAUUUUUUUGUUUAUAUAAGUUUUUUCAAUACUUCUAUGUUGGGAUUGGUUACUAGCUCCAAUUUGAUACAAAUUUAUUUUUUUUUGGGAACUCGUGGGAAUGUGUUCUUAUUUAUUGAUAGGCUUUUGGUUUACACGACCAAUCGCAGCGAGUGCUUGUCAAAAAGCUUUUGUAACUAAUCGUGUAGGGAUUUUGGUCUAUUAUUAGGAAUUUUAGGUUUUUUUUGGAUAACAGGUAGUUUAGAGUUUAGGGAUUUGUUCCAAAUCGCUAAUAACUGGAUUCCUAAUAAUGGAAUUAACUCUUUACUUACUACUUUGUGUGCUUUUUUAUUAUUCCUUGGUGCAGUUGCGAAAUCCGCACAAUUCCCUCUUCACGUAUGGUUACCCGAUGCUAUGGAAGGACCCACUCCUAUUUCGGCUCUUAUACACGCAGCAACUAUGGUUGCUGCGGGAAUUUUUCUUCUAGCUCGACUUCUUCCUCUUUUCAUAUCUUUACCUUUGAUAAUGAGUUUUAUUUCUUUAGUAGGUACAAUAACACUAUUCUUAGGAGCUACUUUAGCUCUUGCUCAGAGAGAUAUUAAAAGAAGCUUAGCCUAUUCUACAAUGUCUCAAUUGGGUUAUAUGAUGUUAGCUCUAGGUAUAGGUUCUUAUCAAGCUGCUUUAUUCCAUUUGAUCACUCAUGCUUAUUCAAAAGCUUUAUUGUUCUUGGGAUCUGGAUCCGUUAUUCAUUCAAUGGAACCUCUUGUUGGGUAUUCACCAGAUAAAAGUCAAAAUAUGGUUCUUAUGGGCGGUUUAAGAAAAUACAUUCCAAUCACAAGAACUACUUUUUUAUGGGGUACACUUUCUCUUUGUGGUAUUCCACCUCUUGCUUGCUUCUGGUCCAAAGAUGAAAUCCUUAGUAAUAGUUGGUUGUAUUCGCCCUUUUUUGGAAUAAUAGCUUCCUUUACUGCAGGAUUAACUGCCUUUUAUAUGUUUCGGAUAUAUUUACUUACAUUUGGUGGGUAUUUGCGUGUUCAUUUUCAAAAUUACAGUAGCACUAAAGAGAGUUCCUUGUAUUCAAUAUCCUUAUGGGGGAAAAAAGGAUACCCAAAGGAGUGAAUAGGGAUUUCGUUUUAUCAACAACGAAGAGUGGAGUUUCUUUUUUUUUCACAAAAUAUACCCAAAAUUCAAGGUAAUACAAGAAAUAGGAUAGGAUCCUUUACUACGUCUUUUGGGGCUAAAAACACUUUUGCCUAUCCGCAUGAAACGGGAAAUACUAUGUUAUUUCCUCUUCUUAUAUUACUACUUUUCACUUUGUUCAUUGGAUUCAUAGGAAUCUCUUUUGAUAAUGGAGGAAUGGAUAAUGGAAUAGCAGAGUUAACCAUAUUAUCAAAGUGGUUAACUCCCUCAAAAAACUUUACCCAGGAAAGUUCUAAUUCUUUUGUAAAUUCAUAUGAAUUUAUUACUAAUGCAAUUUCUUCUGUAACUCUAGCUAUCUUUGGUUUAUUNNNNNNNNNNNNNNNNNNNNNNNNNNNNNNNNNNNNNNNNNNNNNNNNNNNNNNNNNNNNNNNNNNNNNNNNNNNNNNNNNNNNNNNNNNNNNNNNNNNNAUCUCACCUCUUUUUUURKUUAUUCACUGGAGCAAUUAUAUAUUAAAGUCAAUCCGAGGCAAGUGUUCGGAUCUAUUAUGACAUAAAGGUUAGGUGCCUAACGGACAUUGUUUAUCUUGAAAAAACAAAUAUUUCUCGGCGUAAGAAAAAAUCUUUUUUAUUUUAAAUUUAAGAAACUAGUGUAUUUUUUUUUAGGGCAUAAGCUCCUAUCUAUAUCUACUUUCCUUGAGCAUAAUAUAGGGUUUUUUAUUUUUUAUUUGAUUCUAAAUUCCAAGAUAACUCAUUAGAAUUAUUAAUAAGAUGGUUCUAAUAUAUUAGCAAUAUUUAGAUUGGCCCCCUUUUUUUUAUUCACUUUAUUACUUCUAUUCUAGACCCUAUCCCUAUGGUUUAUUCUUAUGAAAUAUCUUAUAAAAUAGAAGGUAUAAGAAAUGGAUAUAAUGAAAUUCUUGAUUCGAUCUUACGACCUAAUUUAUUUGAUUAAUGGAUCAACAACCAAACCAUCCAUUUUAGGAAAAAAAAGGAGCAUGGUCUUAUUCAAAUUCAAAGCGCUUCGUAAUCUUCAACCAGUUUUGUGCUUCAAUAUAAUUUCCCGGAGUAAGCGCUAUAGCUUGUUUCCAAUAUUCAGCAGCUUGAUCAAACCAAGCUUCCGCAAUUUCCGAAUCACCCUCUAGAAUGGCCUGUUCUCCUCGGUCGGAAUAGGCAGUUCCUUCCCUUAGAACCGUACUUGAGAGUUUCCUACCUCAUACGGCUCAGAAAUUGCUAUCUUAAUUUCCCCUAUCUUAACUGAAUUCGAUUUAUCAAAAAUCGAUCCAAUUUGUUCUUGUGUUAAGCAGAAGAAAUUAAUUACCUAAGUUUCAAACCCUAAUUUUUCUCAAUAAUUAGUUUGAUCUUUUUUCCCACCUUCAGAAGAAUGAAGCAUAGAUAGAUAUAGAGCCUUCGUUCAAAUUUUCUGAAAGGUAACUAUCCCGGUUUCAUAUAUGAAAUCUCUAUAGAAUCCUUGAAAAAGACUUUUUUCCAUAAGAAAGAAAAAAGAACUUACUAUCUUUGGGAUCUGAUACUACACCGCUGCUUAAUCCCUUAGUGGAUCGGCUCUAUUACAUAAGCGGAUUCCUAAAUUUUGCCCCAUAUCAUGGGAUAAGUAAGCAGUUUUUUUUAGUUGUAUCGACCCAGUCGCUCACUAAUUGAUCUUUACGGUGCUUUCUCUAUCAAUUUGAGAAACUUUAUCCAUAGAGUAGUAGUAUAGGCCAUACUUUCUUCGUUUUUUGAUUCUCGUGAAGUGUCCUUCCUUCCUACAGCUGAUAGGGAAAAAUCGUUGUUUUUACGAUCCCUAUGUAGAAAGCCCUUUUUUUCCAGUAUUUACUAGAAAAUUUGAUCCUCUCUUUUUUUUGUCUUUCUAUAGUGGAGAUAGUCGCACGUAAUGACAGAUCACGGCCAUAUUAUUAAAAGCUUGCGGUAAGAAGGGGUUUCGUUCUAGUGCCCGGAAAUAAUAUUCCAAAGCCUUUGUAUGCUCUCCAUUGCUUGUGUGUAUAAGGCCUAUGUUAUAGAGUAUAUAACUUCGAUCAUAGGGAUCGAUUUCUAGUCGCGUAGCUUCAUAAUAAUUUUGCAAAGCUUCCGCAUAAUUUCCUUCGGAUUGAGCCAACAUCCGUUACGGUCGUUCAUUCUAUUCAAAAAAAUCUCCGUUCCAAAACCGUACAUGAGGUUUUCAUCUCAUACGGCUCCUCCCUUCUGUACAUAAUAGUACUAAGCGAAAUAAUCUUAAUCUAUAGAAUCAAAAUAGAAUUAGUCCCGUCUCAUUAUGAACCGAAAGGGGCUGGUAUUUUUCCAAGAAAUCUCUAGCCAACCUUCCCACAAGAGGUUUUUCUUAACACCAAUGAAUUCUAUUAAUGCUAGAGGAAAACGAUAGCUCCAAUAAUUUCUUUGUUCUCAACGCCUCCUAUUUAGAGGAAUUAGCUACUUCAACGAUCUUUGAUGGUUAUAGGGGUAUCCAAAGUACAAACCUGAUGGUUGUUUGUUAUCCCAACCAUUCUUCCCAGCCCUGAUACCGAUCAGGAAAGGGGUAAUUUCUACCAAAGUUUUUCUCUUGUUGAUUCCUAUUUCUAGGUGUAGUGCUUUUCUCCCCUAUGCUGCCUACGGAUACUAAUAGAGUGGCCUGUAAUCCAUACCAUACCAUAUCCUGUAGGUGUAACCUUUCGCUCAAUACUCAAAUCUACAAUUGAAGUAUCUGAAGCCGCAUCAAUCGAGGAUACACGACGGAAGGAAUUGUUAGUUCGCCUCACCUUCCCGAAGCGUGGGUUUGCUUGCUUUACAAAUUUGGUUCUCUCUAUGCCAACCCCUUUUCUUUUUCCUAAGACUGAGGUAUAGGUAGGUCUAAAAAAAAGCAAAAAAAAAAAGAGUCAAAUCGCACCAUCUCUAUAAUAAGUAAAUGCCUUUUUUUUCUCCUGAGGUUGUCGGAAUUAUUCGCAAUAAAAUAUUGGCUAUAAUUGAGAAGGUCUUAUCAAUGAAAUUCCWMAUUUACGACGGGAAUCUAAGGCUAUAAAUUCCCAAGCCAUUCUAUAUAGAAUUGUUUCAUUCCUUCACAAAAUAMCAUAAAAACAAACACAUUCGAUUCUUAUAAUUAUAAAUAGAUUGNNNNNNNNNNNNNNNNNNNNNNNNNNNNNNNNNNNNNNNNNNNNNNNNNNNNNNNNNNNNNNNNNNNNNNNNNNNNNNNNNNNNNNNNNNNNNNNNNNNNAAUAAUGAAUUAAGGAAGAAAGGAUAUGAUCUACCGCUUACAAAAAAAGAUCUCAUAGAUAGUCAAUAUGGGCCCUCAACACCAUCAAUGCAUGGUGUUCUUCGACUGAUCGUUACUCUUGAUGGUGAGGAUGUUAUUGAUUGUGAACCCAUAUUAGGGUAUUUACACAGAGGAAUGGAAAAAAUCGCGGAAAACCGAACGAUUAUACAAUACUUACCUUAUGUAACAAGGUGGGAUUAUUUAGCUACUAUGUUUACAGAAGCAAUAACAGUAAAUGCACCAGAAUUCUUGGAGAAUAUUCAAAUACCACAAAGAGCCAGCUAUAUUAGGGUAAUUAUGUUAGAGUUAAGCCGUAUAGCUUCUCACUUGCUAUGGCUUGGACCUUUUAUGGCGGAUCUCGGCGCACAGACUCCUUUUUUCUACAUUUUUUAGAGAGAGAGAAUUAAUAUAUGAUCUAUUUGAAGCUGCUACAGGUAUGCGAAUGAUGCACAAUUACUUCCGCAUCGGAGGAGUAGCCGCCGAUCUACCUUAUGGAUGGAUCGAUAAAUGUUUAGAUUUCUGUGAUUAUUUUUUACGCGGAGUUGUUGAAUAUCAACAACUUAUUACACAGAAUCCCAUUUUUUUAGAGCGAGUUGAAGGAGUAGGUUUUAUUAGCGGAGAAGAAGCAGUAAAUUGGGGCUUAUCGGGACCUAUGUUACGAGCUUCUGGAAUACAAUGGGAUCUUCGUAAAGUGGAUCCUUAUGAGUCUUACAACCAAUUUGAUUGGGAAAGUYCCAAUUGGCAAAAAGAGGCGAUUCAUUAGCUGCUAUUUGNNNNNNNNNNNNNNNNNNNNNNNNNNNNNNNNNNNNNNNNNNNNNNNNNNNNNNNNNNNNNNNNNNNNNNNNNNNNNNNNNNNNNNNNNNNNNNNNNNNNGGGGAUAGAGGGACUUGAACCCUCACAAACUUUAAAAAAGGUCGACGGAGUUUUUUUCCCUUUUUUUACUAGAAAUUUUCAUUUGUUGUCAGUUAUUGACAUGUAGAAUGGGACUCUCUCUUUGUCCUCGUCCGAUUAAUCCACUUUUCUUUUUUUAAAAGUUUCUCAAAACUUUGAAUUUGAAUUUGAAGAAAUUUUGAUUAUUUCAAUAUUCGAAUGGAGUGGAUUCACAAUAAUUUCAAAAUAAAAUUAUGAUAUGAGUUUUUUAUUUCAUAAUCAUUUCGAAUUUUAUUUUGAAAUUUUAAAAAAGAUAAAGAACCUAUAUUAUAAUAUGAGUUCUGUGAUUAAUCGUUUGCUAUGUCAGUAUCUAUACGUGUUUAUUAAAUGUAUAAAGUAUAAAACCCCUCUUUCUCUAAUUUAGAAUUAGAAGGAAUUCCACUAACAACACAACGUAAUUAACUCGAUUCGUUAGAACAGCUUCCAUUGAGUCUCUGCACCUAUCCUUUUCCUUUGUAUUCUAGUUCGAGAAUCCCUUCUCAAAACACGGAUUUGGCUCAGGAUUGCCCUUUUUUAAUUCCAGGGUUUCUCUGAAUUUGGAAGUUACCACUUAGCAGGUUUCCAUACCAAGGCUCAAUACAAUCAAGUCCGUAGCGUCUACCGAUUUCGCCAUAUCCCACUUCCCUCUUCUUUGAGACCAGGAUUCCUUGUGUAAUUUCAUCCAUCUCUUAGUUUUUUUUUUGAAUCAUUGAGUUCAUCACUCAACGUAGUCUAGCAGUUCAGUUCGACUCUAUUUGAGAGACCCCGCUUGCUUAUUGCAAUUCUGAAUUACAUUGAUUCUAUCCUUGAUGUAUUUGCAAUUCAAUCCGAAUCAAUAUAUCCAAAACUUUUUAUCUCCCCCACCUCCCGUCUUACUUUUUUAUAGUAUUCGAAAUUAUACUAUAACGCUGGAUAUUUAUUCUUUUUUUCUAAUCAGAAUUAUCAAUUUUAUUUACUCUGACUUUAUGUUCCCCUUAGUGAAAUAUUAAUCCUCAAAUUAUUAACAAAUAAUAAAGUCUAUAAUGAUCGAAUGAAAAUACCCAUAAAGUCUAUAAUUUCUUUUUAAAUAUCCUAUAGUUAAGCAUAUCAAGCUAACUUUAUCUUUAAGAAGUUUUAGUAUUUUUUUAUUUAGUAUUUUUUUAUAAGUAGAACUUCAAAUUUAGAACUAGUUAAUAGCUAAGAGUAAUAACUAAUAUCUGAGAUUUUACGGAUUUCCUAUACUAUACCUAUUUCUAUUUGUUACACUAUUUCCGUUAUGUAAGCCCACUUAGCUCAGAGGUUAGAGCAUCGCAUUUGUAAUGCGAGGGUCAUCGGUUCAAAUCCGAUAGUCGGCUUUUUUUUUCUCUAUCGAUGUUCUACGAACAAGAAUCUCUUUUUUUCCGAAUUAAAUGGAGAAUCCAGGAUCUUUUAUGUUUUUUACCUUACUAUUUUGCUAGAUACAAACAAUAAAAUAAAUAAUAUAUAUACAAAAAAUACAAAAAAUACAGAUUUUGAUGAAAUUCCAUUUUUUGUGGUACUUUAGUUGAUUUUACUCUGUUUAUCCUGUAGUUUAAUUCAGUUUUAAUUUCGAUGUAUUCUGUAAUGUAAAUACAAUGAAAUUAAUUGUGUAAAAUGAAAUUUCAAUAAAAAAAAGGAGUCUUCAUGUCCCGUUAUCGAGGACCUCGUUUAAAAAAAAUACGCCGUUUGGGAGCUUUACCAGGACUCACUAGAAAAACACCUAAAUCCGGAAGUAAUCUUAAAAAAAAAAUUCAAUUCUGGGAAAAAGGAGCAAUAUCGUAUUCGUCUUCAAGAAAAACAGAAAUUGCGUUUUCAUUAUGGUCUGACAGAACGACAAUUACUUAGAUAUGUACAUAUCGCUGGAAAAGCAAAAAGGUCAACAGGCCAGGUUUUACUACAAUUACUUGAAAUGCGUUUGGAUAAUAUCCUUUUUCGAUUGGGUAUGGCUUCAACCAUUCCUGGGGCCCGCCAAUUAGUCAACCAUAGACAUAUUUUAGUUAAUGGCCGUAUAGUCAAUAUACCAAGUUUUCGUUGCAAACCCCGAGAUAUUAUUACUACGAAAGAUAACCAAAGAUCAAAAGGUCUGGUUCAAAAUUAUAUUGCUUCAUCGGACCCGGGGAAAUUGCCAAGCCAUUUGACG
rnacentral:lncRNA from 1 species